AGCCCUGGGCCCCGCUCAGCCCCCGAGUCCCGCUCGGCUCUGGGCCCCGCUCAGCCCCCGCCGGGGCCGCUGUUCCAGGGACGGUGGUGGCCGGGCCUCCGUGCAGCGGGACAUCAGGCGGCCGGAGCGAAGCCCCGGCCCCGAGAGGUGCAGCCCCGGCCCGGGAGGUGCAGCCCAGCCCGGUGUUUGUGCCCAGGGCUCCUGGGUCGCGUCAAAGCGAGACUGGCGGGGUCGUUUUGUUUCCCCGGCAGCUGGAUUUCCUUCAGCACUUACAAAUGGAGCGGUGUGAUGUGAGGAGAGAGACCUGCGGUGGACUGGAGGGAUAACGGGGAACUGCCAGUGUUGGAGGGAAGUCUGGUACAAGGAUUGACUUCUUUCUUUCUUUCUCUCUAAUGAUUGCAGCAAGCGCUCACAGGACCGCCCUUUGUCAUUUCCCGAGAAAACUCCAAAAGCAAAGCACUUGUUCUACUGCCAGCGUCCUCCAUUAUCAUUGGUGAAAUCCAUCAGUGCAGCCCGACAGACCUUUCCUAAUGCCAUGGGAACGAUGCCGUGAGGCCUGGUAAGACUUGGCCAUAGCCAUGACAGAGCCCCACAGGGUUUCGUUCACCACUCUGCAUGGGCCACUGAGCAGCAGCUUCCUGAAAAGGUCUCGGAAGGACGAUGGAGAGCAGCCCCCGGAGCCUGAGCCGGCAGCCACGGCCGUUCGGAUCACUCUGACCCUCUUUGAGCCGGACCACAAACGCUGCCCAGAGUUCUUCUACCCAGAUCUCCUCAAGAGCUGUCGAGGGAAAGUAAAAGGGGGUUCUUCAGGUGACAAGAAGAAAGACGUGGCUGAUCCCUUCAAUGAUGAGGAAAAGGAAAGGCAUAAAGUGGAGGCUCUUGCUAGGAAGUUUGAAGAAAAAUAUGGUGGCAAGAGGCGCAGGAAGGACCGGAUUCAGGAUCUGAUUGAUAUGGGGUAUGGCUAUGACGAGUCCGACUCCUUCAUCGACAACUCGGAAGCUUACGAUGAGCUGGUUCCUGCUUCUCUCACUACAAAGUACGGAGGGUUUUACAUCAACUCGGGAACGCUGCAGUUCCGGCAGGCCUCUGAGUCUGAGGAUGAUUAUGUCAAAGAGAAGAAGAAGAAGUGUCCCAAGAAGCGGAAGUUGAAAGAUGGGGGUGAAAAAAUAAAGAAGAAGAAGAAGGAUGAUUCUUACGACAAGGAAAAGAAAUCGAAGAAGUCCAAGUUUCCAAAAGCUGGCUUCACAGCGUUAAAUGCCAGUAAGGAGAAAAAGAAGAAGAAAUACUCUGGAGCUCUCAGUGUCAAGGAGAUGCUGAAGAAGUUUCAGAAGGAGAAGGAUGCUCAGAAGAAAAAAGAUGAAGAGCAGAAAGUGGUGACUCCUUCCCCAGCAGACCCUGCAGCCCCAAGGGAGGCAGAGGCCAUGGCCGACCCUCUGCUCUCGCUUUUCGGCCAUGCCAGUGACAGUGACCUGCUCCAGGCAGCCACAGCCAUGGACUCCCUGAGUGACCUGGACCUGGAGCGGCUCCUCAGCGAGUCCCCGGAGGGCAGCCCCUUCCCUGAGGCCGAGGAUGGCAGCGACCCUGGUGGCACGGGCUUGGAGCAGGAGUUCAAGCAGCCACCUUCCCUCCCAGAAGGGCUGCCAGCCCCCCUGGAGAAACGGAUCAAGGAACUGGCUCAGGCUGCCAGAGCUGCUGAGGGAGAAGGCAAGCAGAGGUUCUUCACUCAGGACAUCAACAACAUCAUACUGGACAUCGAGCUGCAGACGCGGGAGCUGAGCAGCCAGGUGCGCUCAGGGGUCUACGCUCACCUGGCCGCCUUCUUCCCCUGCAGCAAGGACACCCUGCUCAAGCGAGCCCGCAGGCUCUACCUCUACGAGCAGGGUGGCCGACUGAAGGAGCCGCUGCAGAAGCUGAAGGAAGCCAUUGGAAGGGCCAUGCCAGAGCAGGUGGCCAAGUACCAGGAGGAAUGCCAAGCCCAUACUCAGGCCAAGUUCGCCAAGAUGCUGGAAGAGGAAAAGGACAAAGAGCAGCGAGUUUGUUCUGAUGAUGAUGAGGAUGAGGAAAAGGGAGGGAAGCGCGUCGCGGGCCCACGGAAGAAAUUCCAGUGGAAUGAUGAAAUCAGGGAGCUGCUUUGCCACUUGGUGAAGAUUAAGUUGGAUGGUUAUGACCUUGACAAGAAUAAGGCUCAGUCUCUAGAGGAUUAUGUGAAGACCUUCCUAGAAGGAGAGGUGAAGCCCCUUUGGCCAAAAGGCUGGAUGCAGGCCAGGACACUGUUUAAGGAGAGCAGGCGUGUACACGGACACCUCACAUCAGUCCUGGCGAAGAAGAAAGUUAUAGCUCCUACUAAGGUGAAAGUGAAGGACUCUUCCUGCAAGCCAGACAAGAAGCUGUCGGUGUCCGUCCCUUCCCUGCACUCGAGCACCACCUUGGCCAUGUCCUCAGAGCCCCAGGGAGGAGCCCUGGGCAUCAGUGCCCAAAACAGGGAAUUCUUGUCCCUUGGCACGGCCCAAGCUGCCAGCAGCACCGCCACUCCUGCCACCUUCAAGGAUGACUCCUUGGAUGAGGACUUGAUUCACAACCCCACCUCCUCCCUGGAAGCAGUGUCCAAGGAACUGGCUGUGCUGAACAGCAGGGCGGGAGGGAGCCCUGACUUUACUCUUCCUGCAGCUCCAAAAGCUCCACCAGAGAAGAUCCCAACUCUUGCAUCCUCAGAGGAGAAGAGGACAUUUCCAAAGCCCAACCCUGCCCCUACAUCAUCCUCUGGUUCCCUCCAGUCUCCUCUAAACUUCCUAGCUGAACAGGCCCUGGCGUUGGGCCAGUCUUCUCAAGACAAGAAGACAGAGAACUCUAAUUACAAAGAGCAUUCCUGCCAAGCUUCCCCCAGCAAAAUCCUUCCUGAUGCCCACCAGGCUAAGCAGAAGCACCACAGCCUGGUCAGGCCAGGCCACGGACCCCCAGCCUCGGUGCCAGUGCCGGGCUCUCAGGUGAAGGUCUUCCACCCUGGUGCUCAGCUCCAGAAAACCUUCACCUCCCCAGCUCCCUUUGUCAAACUGCAGAACCCCAAGUCCUCCACCCCUCUGCCCCAACGCUCCCUCCUCCAGCAGGUCAAGUCAUCAACCAAAGCUCAGAGCUUCCAUUCCUCCACAUCCCCAAGCAGCGCCCAAAACUCCAGCAGCUCCCACAAGAGCCAAGGCUCGUCCUCAUCGUCUCUCAGCUAUGCCGGGAAGCAUUCGAGCGGCUCCGGCUCUUCAGGACAAUCUUACAAAUCGCCUUUCGUCGCUGGGUCCCUCUCCAAGCACGGGGCCUCCUCCAGCAGCUCCUCCUCUGGAGCUUCUGCAAACCAGGGCAGCUCCUCUGUGACUUUGCUUCCCAGCGUUCCGGCCCCUUCCCCGGGCUCGGCCUCCAGCCGCCCGGCCUCCGGCUCCUCCGUGAAGAAAACUCCCGUUUCCCAGAAGCUGACCCUGGUGGCACCUCCCGGCGGCUCCAACGGAGAUUCCAGCGGCGGCACGCAGGGCGUGGCCAAGUUGCUGACCUCGUCCCUAAAGCCAGCUGUGGUCAGCAGCACCGCAGCCUCUACCUCUGUGCCGAAAGGAACUAGUGGAGCUGUGCUGCUAACGAGUUCUUCCUCCUUAAGUGUACUGGCUCCAUCCUACAAGUCCAACAACCCAAAGCUGCCAGCUGCCCUGAGCUCCACCCCGUUAGGUAUUAUCUCUCCUAUUCAUUCUUUCCCUCUCCAUGUCAUCUCCUUCAGUUCCGACUCCUCCCCAAAAGCAGGAGUUUCCAAGGAUGCAAUAGUUACGGGACCUGCUCCGGGGACUUUCCACCACGGCCUUGGGCACAGUCUUCUGGCUGGUUUGCACUCCAGCCCCCACCAUGCAGCGCCACUCCCACACUCUGCCCUGUCCACUCAUUUACCACAGAGUUUGCCAGAUGCUUCUCAGCUUCAUGGCAAAGGGUCCAAUGCACAGCAGCGCAAGUUGUGACACCUGCGAGGAGGGGAGCUCCAGCACCCAUAGGAUAAAACCCAGAGGAGCAGGACUUUGGAUACCAGCUGUGUCUUUUGAUUUCUUUUUUUUUUCUUUUUUCUUUUUUUUUUUUACGACAACUGGAGAGACUGAACUGCAACGAGGAACUCAUUGGGGCGUCUGCUCAGAGGCUUUCAGAGCUGAGCCCCACACACGGGGCCACCUUGAGCCAUGCCCUGAUGAGAGGAGCCUUUUGUAGCACUGUUUUAUUGCUGCUGCCCUUCCUGCAUUCCCUGGCACUGGCAGGAGCUGGAACUGGCAGGGAGGCUCGGGUGGUCCUGCCGUGGAUUCCCACCCACCCGUGUCUGUAGCUGCCAAGUACCUCCAAGUCCAGUUACCUCCUUGGUCUCCCCGUGGAGGGUAUGAAAGGUGCUUCUUUCUUCUGCUUUGGAUUUACUUGGAUAAUUCUAGCACUGCCAGUGCUUUCUUGAAGACAUUUGAGUAACUUUCCAAUUGUACUAUAAAACUGUGCUACACUUAAUUGGAGGAUUUAACAUUUCCUGUGUGGUGAAUCUGAGGAACCACCUGAUGUUCCCCUCUGGAGGAGAAGGAAGACUCUUUAGAGAGACAUUUUUAGAUGCAGUCAUCGACUUUUAGAAUUCUACUUCUUUUGAGUUUUUGGAUUUUUUUUCCCCUCCAAAGGGAUGCUUUUUUCCUGCUCAGUUUUAUCCUCAUUGCCAUUGAAUGCAUUGGAUUGAAUGGGACACUUCUUAGCAUGUCACAUGGAUCAGAAGACAUAAUUCCAGUGCCUUUUAUGGUGGAGCAAGAAUGGACUAGUGACACACAUUUCAGCCCUAUUUUGUGUGCUCCUCAACCCUUUUUUAACCAUUCUGUAUUUAAAAUGUAUUCUGGUUUAUUUAAUAGAGCUUUUUAUGGUUGCACAUCAGAAAAAAAAAAAAAAAAGGAAAAGAAAAAAAAAAAAAGCUGCACUGUCUGGACUUCAGUGGUGACCUGGUGACUGAGCACAGUCCCAAAUCCAGCAGGAGCACCAGUUCUCGUCCCAGUAUGUGCAGGCGGGUUCCAGGCCCUCCCCUAAAGCCAUUCUUUCCUAGGGUUGUGAGUUAGGAUCAAUUUGGUGGGCAGAGGGAAUGAGCGAGACGAACCAAGGUCACUACCUGUCGAAUGAAUUCCAGAGAGAAGCACUGCUCUUCAAUGAUACCUGCACCAGGAUCGUGUGCUCAGCACAGCUGCAGGAACAGGGACCAUCCACCACUGGGGGCUGUCUUUUCUUGUUCGUUUUCCUAACUUUUACACCUAAAUACUCUCCCUGAGCACCCCCUUUCAGGCUAACGGCAGGCUGAGGCUCCACCUGAGCUUCCUGAGGUUUGGUUUCCUGCUCUGCCCAGUCUGUCUUCUCUCAGGCCCCCACAGCCACGUCCCAGUUGUGCAGUGGUAGCGCUGAUCCAUGUAGAAUUUACUGGUAUUCCAAGGAAAAGCUUGUAGCUUCCUCCUUGAGCUUUGGGGAAGGAUGCUGACCGCAGGAUAGCAGCAAAUGUCUGCUUUAGUUUCCCCUGGUUUUUGUUAAGAUCCGAAGAAGACUGUUUCCAAUUGGAGCUGAUACGUAACUGCCCGAGAUCAGUGAGUUGAUUGUAUUUCAAAUCAAUGGAUACAGCUCAGAUUUCAAGUCUGUUUACAGAAAAUACCUAGGUUGUAGCAAAAGAGCCAAAGACAGAACUCGCGUGGGUAAAAUGAAGCACAGCAUUUCUCGGUGGACUCUGAGCAGUGGAUGUCGCGUGGUUCCUGUUGAAGGCCUCAUCCUGAGGGGUGCUUGGCACCUUCACCUUCUCCGGGGAGCUGAAAGCUUGGGACACCUGGCAGGAUAGGGGCUCUCAGCGAGUGACUCGAGUUCCCUGACUUUGAUUCCAUGAAUUUCUGUUGCAGCUUGGAUGCUCAUCUGUGGCUUGAGUGAGUAAUGAAUUAUUGACUGUUUUAAAGUCUCCUAUGUGGUGAGUGAAUGGCAGCUCUGUUACAGCUGCUGUAGGGGUAGGAAUGUUUCUUCUCAUUCCCUGUGCUCCUGCUGGUGCUUGAAGUUGGCCUCUGCUGGAAAGGACGUGUGGGGCUCAGAUCCCAGAGCACCAGAGUGAUUCUCCCUGACCCUUUCAUUCGCAGAGGUAAAACAGUGCUGUUAAUCCCCAGAGCCAGGAGGGAUAAGCAGGGAAUGCUUAUGGCUGCUUUCGUGGAUAUCAGAGCUCACUGGGGUUUGGGUAUUAGCUGAAAUUUGGGAAAAAGGAAGUGAAUGGGCUCUGGUACCAUCUCAGUGUAAUCCACUGUUCUCCUGCACCUGCAGUCCCUCUCUUUCGUGCACUUCACUCCCAUCUAAUGCUGCUAAUUAGUCCCAGCUCCAAUGCUGCUCCAGGAAGUUCCCCCUUGGAAAAGAGCCAACAGCUAAGAUGAUAAUCUUAGUGUUUUAAUUCUGACUCCAAAAUGGCAACUUCUUGUGCAGCCAAUGAUCAAGAGGCUGCCGUAAUUAAUAAAGACCAGCCACUUUCUGAUUGGAACCACUGCAUUUUUAUUUUGUACUAUAAAUAGAAUUCCCCUCUAUUCCCCAUUCCCUUACACAAGUAAAUGAAACGUAGCUGCAUGUAACUCCAUCCAGGAAAACACCAGCACAAACAGCUUUUAACCACGAGGGAAGGAGCUGUCUGUGGGAGGCCCUCUGCGUUGGGUUCCCUUGCAUGCUGUGCACAACCCCUUGUGUCUGGUGGUUCUGCCAUCCCUUCGUGCCCUUUUCCUUGACCUCUGUGGUGUGUGAGUGCUCCUCCUGGAUCACUGGCUGGUGCCAUCGAAGUACACCUUCACUCUUCCCCAGCAGCACAGGCACAGAGGUGAACAAAAGGUGGUGGUGGGUCUUGACGUGGUGAUGCUGGACUGAAACCUUGGUUUCCACAGAGCUGGUUUUCUCAGAGGACGAGCCCAUCAUUGAGUCAGUUGUCCACGGUGGGACUGUCUGGCUUAUCAACAUGCAGCUGAUGUAACCAGCACCUGCUGGUCACCUCGGAGUCACCUGGACCUUCAGUCUCUCUCCUGACACGGCUUUGUACCCGACUAUGUGAGUAGAAGUUGAGGAAACUGCAGGUUCUACCGAGUCUUUGGACUUGAGGCACUUCACUGUCCUAAGGCUUUCUGUUGUUUUCUGGUAGGCAGGAAGGAAGAGGGGGAGAAGGUUUGGCAGAUGUUUUGCACUACUGGCGGUGUCUUCUGCAGUGUGUGACAGCAAGCGGCGUGGCUGCGUAGCAUGGCCGGGGCAGAGGCUGUAGCAGUUUGGAAGACGCGAAGGAGGGCGAGGCUUUGCAGUGAUCUGGGUGUCUACGAGGCGCUGCAGCUCUGACUGGCUGCUCUUGAAGUAAAGUUUCUAAAGUGGAGCGAGCGCUGUGUAAUUGCUUCCGGACACCAAGACUGCCAGCUCCUGGAUAGACAUCUCCUUGUUGAGGUAACUGUUGUACUGGGCCAUGGUGAGCCUGCCGCUCUUCAGGGCGUCCUCGAUGGAGAACUCCCUGCCAGACUUCCUGUCGAGGAUCACGGACGAUUCCCCAUUGGGACCCUUUAUUGAGAUCUCCUCCCAGUCACAUUCCUGGCUCUUCAGUUUGACAAACAGGCUCCAUUCAAUGAGGCCGAACACGUGAGCUUCCUCUGGAGACAUCUCUUUUCCUGUGUCGGGGUCAAUGACCACGAUGGAGCGCCUCAGGUGGUUUUCUCUUUGCUCCCUCUUGAUAGCCACCGUCUUCAGGCGAUUCUGGAGUUGCUCAAUCUCUGCAUCUUUUUCUCUGGACAACUGCUUCAGGUCCUCUAACUCUCUUUCCAAAGCUUGGAACCUGGAGUCCAGGUUUAUUCCACUGUCCACGUGGGUCAUGUUUCUCAAAUCCUGAGCUUCUGUUGCGGUGAGUUCAAUCUCUGACUGCAGUCUCCUUGUUUCCAUCAGCAAAUUCUGUUUCUCGAGGUGUAGCUUGUGG